rnacentral:rRNA from 1 species
UACGUAGGGGGCUAGCGUUGUCCGGAUUUAUUGGGCGUAAAGAGCGUGUAGGCGGCCAGAUAGGUCCGUUGUGAAACCUGGAGGCUUAACCUCCAGCCGUCGAUGGAAACCAUCUGGCUAGAGUCCGGAAGAGGAGAGUGGAAUUCACGGUGUAGCAGUGAAAUGCGUAGAGAUCGUGAGGAAGACCAGUGGCGAAGGCGGAUCUCUGGACAGUUCCUGACGCUGAGGCGCGAAGGCCAGGGGAGCAAACGGG